CGAACGAGACUCAAACUUUUUUAAAUAGAUGCUUGCAGGUUUAUGACGCUGAAACUAUGUGCGUGGGUGCUUUGGUUGUGCAAGCAAUCAUUGUGUUUAUGUGCAUGGUGGAGUUAUACCUGUUUGGUUUGUCUUAAGAGGACACUUUGCUUCUUAAAUGGACAAAAUGCGUCUAGCAUUAAUGAGAUUGAGCAAUAACAGGUCUGUGAUGCCCUUAGAUGUCCUGGGCUGCACGCGCGCUACAAUGAAGGUAUCAAUGUGUUUUAUCCUUGACCGAGAGGUAUGGGUAAACAUUGAACCACCUUCUUGGUUGGGAUUGUGGACUGUAACUGUUCACAUGAACCCGGAAUUCCCAGUAAGUGUGAGUCAUAAGCUUGCAUUGAUUACGUCCCUGCCCUUUGUACACACCGCCCGUCGCUACUACUGAUGAAUUGUUUAGUGAGGUCUCUGGACGUGUGCGCCGAAAUACUCCUGUAGUAAUUUGGUUUGUUACACAGAAGUUGACCGAACUUGAUUAUU
rnacentral:rRNA from 1 species